rnacentral:tRNA from 14 species
UAACCAUAAACUUCCUGUGGAAUGCAGAGGCAAGGAUUUCUUAGGGUGAUAUCUUUUAAUUAUCUUUUCUUAUCACUCUAAUAAAUCCUUGCCUCUUCGACACCAUCAUUUCUGCACCUGACU